rnacentral:lncRNA from 1 species
GGGCAAAGAUAGAGUGAGCCAUUACGAGCAAUUUUUGCUCAUUUGAAACUUCAUUUGGAAGUAUUUUGGAAAAGUUUGACCGAACCUUGCUUCAGAGGUUGCCUACAUAUCCUUGGCUAGAAAAGAAUCAGGUCGGUGUAGUUCUAGAAGGAUGAUGGACUGAUGAGUUCGAGAGUCGAGUGAGGUGUCAUUCUGUCGAGGUUCCGAUCCACGGUCCCGUUAUUACAUCAAAAUCAAAAUAAAUUUUUUAACUAAACCUAUUAGCUACGAGUUACAAGAUUCCUAUCUAUAAAUCAUCUGAAGCUUGAUCUUGAGUCUUGGCUGGUUCUUCCUGCAGACUCCGAUCUGAAUCUUGAUGCUCGUUAGCUGCGCACACUGGUUCAUUCUUCUUUAGCUCUUCAAAUCAAGACGGGACAUGCAUAGCUUGUAACUUCAAUCAUAUCUUGGGCAGUCCGCAUCUUUUCUCUACUUCUGCACUUUGUUUCACUUCUUUCCUUUGUUUUUUUCUUUUAUUUGGGUUGAGACUUCUUCUUUUGGUCAUCUCAAACCUUGUGCCCCACGGUGAAAACCUGUUCAGGCACCAAAGCAAACAAACGAACAAAAUUUUCUGCCCCAAUUUUCACUAGGAAAAUUUUGUGAGUUAUUGCAACAAAAUCUAAACUAUUUCUUUCUUUGAAAGCAAAUAAAAUAAGGAUUGUGUAUCCUUGGGAAAAAGAGAUAAGGGAGUGGAGCCCUAUAUCUAUACUAAAAUCAACCAGGGAGUGGAGAUCCUAUGUUGGAAAAGCGACUAGGGAGUGGAGACCCUAUGUCUAAAAUAAACUCAACUAGGGAGUGGAGACCUAUGUUGGAAAGAUGACUAGGGAGUAGAGACCCUAUGUCUAAAAAUAAACUCAAUUAGGGAGUGAAGAUCUUAUGUUGGAAAAACGACUAGGGAGUGGAGACUCUAUGUCUAAAAUAAAAUCAACUAGGGAGUGAAGACCCUAUGUUGGAAAGGCGACUAGGGAGUGGAGUCCAUAUGUCUAAAAUAAAAUCAACUAGGGAGUGGAGACCCUAUGUUGGAAAAGAGAGUAGGGAGUGGAGACCCUAUGUCUAAAAUAAAAUCAACUAGGGAGUGGAGCCCCUAUGUUGGAAAGGGUGACUAGGGAAUGGAGACCCUAUGUCUAAAGUAAAAUCAACUAGGGAGUGAAGACCCUAUGUUCGAAAAGAGACUAGGGAGCGGAGACUCUAUGUCUAAAAAUAAAAUCAACUAAGGAGUGGAGACCCUAUGUUGGAAAAGAGACAAGGGAGUGGAGACCCUAUGUAUAAAAUAAAAUCAACUAGGAAGUGGAGACCCUAUGUUGGGAAAGAGACUAGGGAGUGGAGACCCUAUGUCCAAAAUAUCUUCAACUAGGGAGUGGAGACCCUAUGUUGGAAAAAAAACUAGGGAGUAGAGACCCUAUGUCUAAGAACNNNNNNNNNNNNNNNNNNNNNNNNAAAAUAAAAUCAAAUAGGGAGUGGAGACCCUAUGUUGGAAAAGCGACAAGGGAGUGAAGACCCUAUGUCGAAAACAAAAUCAACUAGGGAGUGAAGACACUAUGUUGGAAAGGUGACUAGAGUAGAGACCCUAUGUCCAAAAUAAAAUCAACUAGGGAGUGGAGACCCUAUGUUGGAAAAGCGACUAGGGAGUGGAGACCCUAUGUUGGAAAACUGACUAGGGAGUGGAGACCCUAUGUCGAAAACAAAAUCAACUAGGGAGUGGAGACCCUAUGUUGGAAAAGCGACUAGGGAGUCGAGACCCUAUGUCUAAAAAUAAACUUGACUAGGGAAUGGAGACCCUAUGUUAGAAAAAACGUUACUAGAGAUUGGGGACCCUAGGCUACCAUGUUUUUUUUCGAAUUUUCUUCUUAUCUUUUUUUCCCCUUUUUUUAUUAUUUUUUAUUUUUUCUCCUUCUUCUUUUUUAUUUUUCAUUUCAUAGAAUGAGUAAAUGCGGGAAAGAAUUUGGAGGGGACUUCCCUUUAUGGAUUGUUGCUGCCAAGCUGUUUCUAGCCCUUGCGCAGUUUCUCUUUGGUUGCACCUGCUUCUUGCAAGGUUACUUUGGAUUGCACAUGUUUCAUGUUUUCAAACAAAGAACAAUUGUUAGUUUAAAACGGUGGUUAAUUUUGUGGCCUUGAUUGUUUCAAUCACUUGAUCUCGGCCCGACUUCUUUGAUGAAGAUCUCAAUCGCAACUGCUCGUUUCCUGGGUACCGAUUUCAUUUCAGGCCCUUAGAACCUCUAUUUUUUUCCAGAUUUUGCCAUGACGGUUGGUCGGUAGAACUCAACCUUUUCAACUUUAUUUUGCCUUCGUAGGCUUUUCACUUUUGACUUGUUGUUUUUCUUUUUCAUUUUUUUUCAUUUUUUUAACCAUUCGGAGCUUUAGGGAACUUUUGGCUCCUCAAACUUGCUGCAACGGCUAGUCGCGUGGGACUUAACCUUUUUCAACUUUAUUUCGCCUUCGUAGGCCUUUCAUUUGUCGCUUCUUUCUUCCAACUUAAUUUCAGAUCAUUUGGGUACCUUGGCUUUUCAAACUUUUGCCGAGAUAGUUAGCCACGUGGGGCUUAACCUUUUAAACUUCAUUUGCCUUUAUAUGAACUUCAAUUUAAUUUUCUCCUUCCAAGAGUUUUCAAUAUCAAAACAUCAGCCACUAUGGCCAGUCAAAGUCGACUUGAUGCCCCCUGACGAGGCUAGGUGCCUUGUUGCACAUUAGCUUCCAUCAAAUGAGAACCCUGUAAAUCAGUCUUGCUAUCCCUUCUUUGUCUCAGUACCGGAAUAAAGUUAGACCGAAAGGGAUUCAAAGAAAACUAAACAAUGGACAGGACAAGGAAUUUAAACAAGAUGCAUCCCUUUCGAGGAGAAGAAAGAAGGACUUAUCUGGAGCAGUGUUUUUAGGGGCGUUUAUGGGGCGAGUCUCGGGGCUUGAAUCGGGGCGGGGCAUAGAUCCUUUGGGCGCACUCCCCAAGAGAUGAGGCGCACGCUUAGGCGCAAGACUCGCCUCAGAACUAAGACUCACGCCCCAGGGAACUUAACCAAUUGAAGGAUAAUUUUGAUAAUUGCCCUUAUAUUUUUAAAGCCUUUUUUUGUUUUACCCCAAAUCUGUCUCCACCCCAUUAAAAAAAGCAUUAACCUUGUUAUAAUCGUCCACACUCCAUACUCCAUAGUACCUUGAGCUUUCUCCUCGUUAGAUAAUGAAAAAGCACUAACAUGCAUUUCUGCUUUUUUGUUGAAAAUAAGUGCCAUUUUUGCUCUUAGCAAUGAUAUCAAUAUAUCUCUGACCAAAUUAAUUUGUUUGCAUCAAAAUUUUCUCUAAUAUUAAACUACUAGAAAGUUAUCCUCACUCAUAUUUUAAAAUAUUAUAUUCUAAGGCAUCUAUAAUGUUUGUCUUUAUAGUUUAGAACUGUUUAUCAUUGCCAUGAACUUGUUUGAUUUUAUUUCAUUUUUGCAUUUUCUUACAAAUAAUCAAUGACGCAUUUUACUUAUUUUGUUUGGAAUAUGGAUUGUUAUUUCGGUUAGAAUAUUAUUGACUUAUUGUUAAGAUGUAUCUCAUUUAUUAGUAUAUUGUUUAUUGUUAGUUCAUAUAAUUAUAAUAAUUAUCUAUUUUUUGUGAUUUCUAUGGAUUUUCUAAAAGAAUUAUGUAAUUUUUAGAUUUAAAAAUAAUUUUAAUUUUAUUUUAUUAAUUAUAAAUUAAAAAUCUUUGGGACUUACGUCCCGUGUUUCGGGGCUUACUCCUCGCCCCAUGUUGGGUAAAACGCCUCGCCUCACGCCACCGCCUUUUGAAACACUAAUCUGGAGUGCAUGCAAACUUCAAUGAACAUGACAUGCCUUUUGGACUGGAUGCCUGAUCUGUGUAAACCAUCCAACUCUCAGAAAUUCAUCACAACUUUGCCUUAAAACCGAGGAACCUUGCCAAGACUCUAUUGAUGCUGAUGGUUACGAUGAUCCUUUUUUCGAUCAGGGGCGCCCUUUGCGGGUUUUCACGAGCUGGCCUCUCUCAUUUCUCUUCUCACCAUCGCCUUAUAGUGCUCUUUACGAGUUCUCACUAACAAGACUCUCUCAUUUUCAAUUUCUCUGUUUACCAUCGUCCUACGGUGCCCGUGUGGGUUUUCACCAAUAAGACUCUCUCAUUUAACUUAUCUCAUUUUUAUUGCAUCGGAUCCAAGUAAUUGUAUCCUCCCAUUUUGAACCUCUUUGUCGAUUGAUCAGAAGGACUUGAACAGGGUUUGGGUAAAAAGGAUUUGGAUUGAGUUACAACUUUGGAACCUUUCGAAACCAUCACCGAACCAUUAUAGCAUAUGCCCCAGUUUCACUUUUGGGGGAAUUUGAAUUUUUAUUUCGGUGUGACUGAACCCUAGAGAGAGGCUGACUAUGUAUCCUUUUGGAAUCAAGUCGAACGUAGUUCAGGGAACUUUUUUUUCUUUUGCUUUUCUGAUUUGUUUUGUUUUCUCUUUCUUUUUCCUUUCCUUUUUUCCCUUUUUUUCACUUUUCAUCUCAAUUUUUUUUGAAUUUUUGUUAAUAACACUCUCAGGUUCCAAAGAGGGUAAUCAAAGAAAAGUAACCGGCUCAAAGGGUUUGCAAAUGGUUGAUAGUAUUUGGGUAGGGAGAAUAAAAUUCUUCUUCAUCCCAACUGGAGAAUAUUAAUGCUAUAUAAAGGAUCCAACAUAGUACAUUUCGUCUGCAUUUUCUUUGACAGUUGUUUAAGGGACAUUUCCUUCGAUGUGUCGCAAAUAUAACACACUCUUUUGGCAGUACUCUUGUUGCAUUGUAUGAACCUUUCCAAUCUGGAACCAAUUUUUCUUCAGAUAUCCUGAAUCUUUGUUUUAUUUCCUUAAAAUUUUCUUCAUUGCAAUCUAAUUCUUGAUUCAUUAUUUCGAAGUCUGAUAGCGUUUUAGGAUCUGGGCAUGAAGUCCGCAAGCAUGUCAUGUUAUUGAAAUCUCCAUUUAAACGAACUAAAAAGAGAAUAAGAAAAACGACAAGAUUAAGAAAAGAAAUAUUCCUGGAUAAUGAAAUAUUAAUUUCAUUUGAUUUUUUAUUUUUGAUUUUUUUGAUUUUUUUCCAGUUUUUUUAAGAUAGAAGGGUUUACAUCAGAAAGUAAGACAAUAAAGUAAAAUAUACGGAUCACACCCUGAGAUAAUUCAGACACAGAAAGGAUAGCAAGACUGGCUACAAAGACUCCCGUCUGAUGGGGAACUUUCAUGCUUGGCGACCAUUUUUUGGAUUUUCUUCUGUCCCGGCAAUGGCUGCAAUGGCCUUUAGUGCCAGAUCAAAUUCCUCAGCUUCACAAAUCAUUCCGACUAUUGGCCCGAUGUUAUGGGCAGGCAACAGAUUGUUCAUCACAUCAGGAGCUUCUUCAUCCCGAAAACUGAUUCUUUCAGCUUCAAUAAAAUCUUCAAUUGCCCUUUUGAGGGUCCAACAGUCCUCCGUACUGUGUCCCACUGCUCCACAAUGGUAUUCACAUCUAGCAUCAGCUCGGUGCGAGGGGGACUCGGGGUUUGGCCGGUUCGGGGCCACUGCCUGCAAUAGAUCUAGCCUGAUUAGCUUUUGGAUCAAGUUUGAAUAUGAUUCACCAAUAGGAGUGAAUUGAUUCUUUCUGAAAGGCUCUCUUGAGCGAGGAUUGUAUUGAGGAUUAUAUGAAGCUUGGUAAGGAUGAGCAUUUCUGGGAGGUGGAGCUAGGUUUUGUGUAUAAUGUUGUAGCCGCGGGUAAGGUUGCAUGUUCAUCACCGCAUGAGGAGGUGGUGCCACGACAUAAGCAGCAUCUUGAAGGGGAUAAUAGUGUGGUGGGACCAUAGAAGGCACAUAUGAUUGGCUGAAUGACCUGCAGGCUCCCUCGAGCUUGAAACCAUCAUGGCUCCCUCUUCAAACCAAUUUCUGUUCAUCAAACCCUCCAAACCAUUCCGAGCAGCCUGUGAUGUGGCUUUAAAGCCAGCAUGACUCAAGAUUCACCCUGUUUCUAAACCGUUUUCAACCAUUUUCCCAAUUUUGAUAGCCUCAACAAACGACUUUCCCAUAACGGACAUCAUGUUCUGGAAGUAGUCCGCCUCUUGGGCCUGUAGAAAGAUAGUGGCCAUUUCAAUUUCAUCCAUUGGAGGCUUUACCUUAGCAUCUUGCUCACGCCAUUUGACAGCAUAUUCGCGGAAGCUUUCCGCAGUUUUCUUUUUCAAAUUGGUCAAAGAGUUUCUGCCGGGAACGAUGUCCACAUUAUACUGGAACUGGCGAAUAAAAUCUCGGGCCAUAUCGUCCCAUACGUGCCAAUGAGUAAUUUCUUGAUCCGUAUACCACUCAGAAGCGAUUCCGGAGAGGCUUUCCCCAAAAUAGACCAUUAGUAACUCCUCUUUUCCACCAGCACCCCUCAACUGGUUACAGUAUCGUUUCAGAUGAGCGACCGGGUCUUCGUGCCCGUUGUACUUUUCAAAUUUUGGCAUCUUGAAGCUAGUUGGCAAGUGGACAUGGGGAAACAUACAGAGAUCAGAGUAUGAGACACUCUUCUGGCCACUCAGACCUUGCAUUUUUUUCAGGCUUUGUUCCAGGCUCUUCAUCUUUCGAACCAUUUGCUCUUGCUUGGGACUUUUAACAACCUUUUCUUGCUCCAUUGAGAAAUUAUAUUAUGGAGGUUGAGUGAAAGAGAACGGGGUCACAUAUGCUAUUUCUGAUUGAAGUUGUGGACCCUGAAAGGCGAACAUUGGAGGCUCAACAUACGGCCGUGGUAAAGUUGGUUGUGUUCUGGUGCAGACUGGUGUUGUAGAGAACAAUAUUGGAGGUGCCCAGGAAACUGGCGCCUGGGGACGAGCCACAAAAGGCAUGCCAGGAACGUUGGACGGCAUUAGAGGGUGCCCGCAUGGGAUGAGCGAGUUGGGCACAUGGGCGUUGGUAACCUCAAUUGACUUGGGGAUCAAUUCAGAGAACCCAGGGAUUGCACUUGGCAGUUCCCUACAAUUAGACCAGGCGUCCCACAUUUUCAAUAUGCGGAGAUGCAACAUUAUCCUAUUCUCUAUAGCAGCUGUUGAUUCUAGCUACAAAAUAGCCGAUGCCGGGCUAUCCUCAAGACUGAUGAUUGGUAGAUUGCUUGCGGAGGUCAUAUGUGUCAUUGGAUCUUGUGAAGGAGGGCAGGCUAGACUUCCAACAAAACCAACCACAAAAACCUGGUUUGUUUGCACACCCAACAACCUUGUUAGUUUUGAGAUGUUUAACAGUUAGGAAGUCACACGUUUGGAUGCAAUGCACCUAAACAGUUAAGUGUUUCUACCAUGUGUUUGAAUGGUUGCAUGUUUCAUCCCGACCUUAACUAGCCUUUCAGUAUGUAUCUCUUUUCUUUUAUUUCUACCUCUCUUUAAUCACUUUUGAUUUUUUUCAAUUCGUUUCUAUCGCUCUUUUAUUUUUUCGUCACUCUUUUUUUUGUCACUCUUUUUUUUUCACUCAAUUUUUCUUUCUCUCUUUUUUUUCCAGUUUAUUUUUCACUCAUUUAAUUUUAUGGCUAUGAUCGAAUCCAAUGAGGAUUGUCUACGUAUCAUGAUGCCGCAUGAAUCAGAUCUUGCGUAGUUCGGGAAGAUCGAAAAUGGAGUAAAUAAACUAACUUUUGUUGGAAUUUUUGAAAGAAAUGCUUUAAAAGAAGAAAGGAAAUAUUUUUUUUAUUUUUGUUUUGUUUUUAAAAUAAGGACUUCUAAAAAAAAUCCAUUUGCUUUUGAUUUGAACUUUGGGAAUUUUAAAAGUAAAAAGAAAAUAUUUUUGUUUGAAUUUUCAUUUGUUUUCUCUUUUUCUAAAGAAUAAAGAAAAAUAUUUUUUUUUGAAUUUUGGAUGCUGCCUCUUAAUUUUCGAAAGAGGGACUUUUAAGAAAAUGUUUUGAAUUUCUGAGUUUUUUUAUUUAUUUACAAAAGUACUUCUAAAAAAAAGCAAAAUAUUUUUGGACUUCAAUUUUCAUUUUUUUGACAUUUAUGAAAGAAAUACUUUUAAUUAAGGAAAAGAAUAUUUUUUUAUUUUUUUUAUUUUUUUCAAUCUUUUGGAAAAAUACUUCAAAACAAAGAAAACUCGUACGAAAUACUCCAGAAAGAAGGAAACUACCUUUUUUUGAGUUUUAUAAACUUCCUUUUUUGUUUGAAUUUUCUAAUGAAAGAUUUCUAAAAGAAAAUAUUUUUGGAUUUUUGAAAAUUGGGGUCGGAACCAAUGAGGUUUGCCUACGUAUCUCACAUCCGGUGAGAAUCAGACCCGCGUAGUUCGGUCAGUUUUGACGGAACAUGGGAAACAUGACGCUUGAAAAUUUUGGCUCAUUUUGAAAUGACUUUCUUUUCUUUUUUUUUCUUUAGAUUUUCCGCAAAGUUUUAGAAUUUUUCAAAUACCUACCUCUCACUCUUGUUUUUGAUUUUUGAUUCUUUUUUUCUCUCUUUUUUUAAUUUUCUUUCCCUAUUCUAGAAGCCGGUUAACAUAUAAGCCGAAACAAACAGAUGUGCAAGUAGCACGUAAGAUGUAUCAGGAUGGUCUUUCUUAUUUGGGUACACCUGUCCUAGACGGACCAAACCCCUAUGUUGAGUCUCCAAAGUCAAAUGCACGUGAUGCAAACAAGCAUUCCUACUAGGGAUCCGACAUGAGGCUAUGUUAUUCUAGGUUUAGAACCUGAGUGUAUUGUUCUAGACCUGGCUUACCCGAGCGGACCGCUUGAGCCGGGAGGGAGCAUACCGGGAAUACAGAAGCUUCAUCGACUUUGCAACUUGUCCGAACCUCGUUCUAAAAUUUGGAUAUGACUCUAACAGAAAAGAAGUUACACGAAGUGCACACUUCCCAGAAGAUUUAGAAGACUCAGAGAGAGGAGGGUUACGUAGCAAUUUAUAUACAGUCCAAACAAUAUCAAAGUGGUAAAAAGCGGUAAUUAGCAUAUUAGGAUCAAACAUGUAAAAAUCAGAUAAUAAAUAAAGCCAAGUAUAACAGCUAUUCUAAGCUCGAAUUCUUGAACCCUGAACCAAAAGUUUUGGAUUUUUAGUCCCCAGCAGAGUCGCCAAAGCUGUCACACAUCCUUUUUACACACCCGAGAGGGGAUAUAAGGGAGUUUUUCCAAUUAAAGUGGCAAUAUUCGAAAUAGGAUUAUUUUUUCUUAUUUUUCAUAGUCGCCACUUGGAAUAGUUUAUUUGGUGUCCCAAGUCACCGGUUUAUUUUAAAAUCCCAAAUCGAGAAAAAUUAACUUUAUUUAAAAGUCAGCGAACCAGAAAUUCUAGAUAAGGAAUUAUAUUAACUCGGGAGAAGGUAUUAGGCAUUCCCGGGUUCCGUGGUCUAGCACGGUCGCUUAAACUAUUAAGAUUUGCAUAUUAUCCGAUUUAUUACAUGUUUUAACCUAUUGUGCACUUUUAACUUUAUAAUCGCUUUUAAUUAUUUUAUGGAAUUAUUCGGGAACAAGUUACGAUUGUCGUACACUUGUUUGUUUGAUACACAUUGCGAACCGCAUCACAUGAAAUGCACCCGCGAUUUACAACAAGCUUAUUUUUAUUAUUGUUCGAAGUUGUUAGGAUCGAGUCACAUGAAAUGCACACUCGAAUUUGGAAAUUAUGUGUCGUGACCAUGCCACAGGAACCAUACCCAUGUUCACAAUGAUUUUAUUAAUCGCGCCUAAAGCAAGCUACGAUGUUUGUGAUUUUCAUCCUCAACUAAUUUGAGAUUAUUGUGAAGCCAAAUUUAUGAACAAGAUAUUGUUGGGGAGUAAAUGGGCUAGCUAUUCUGCUCAAAUUUUUUAUGGUUCAAGACCCACGUUAUGAAAUGUUAAGACUUUAACCGCAUUUUAACUCUCCGCCCAUUAUUCUCUAAAUCCGUCCACAAUAAAACAAAAUCACAAUUUCAGAAUGUGGAGAUUCGUAGAUGACAAAGCCAAAAAUCUUAUCACUCAAACCAGGACCACCUAUUCUUCUCCUACUUAGGUGUUACAAUGCCACACCUCUUCCCAUCACCCUUACCUUCUUAAUCAGCUUCUGUUCUUCGUUUCUUGUCCACUCUUCGCUCCUCUUCUUCCGAUUCAAUAGUUUCCGAUUAUAUAUCUACUCCAGUGACUCUUAACAAUGCUAAUCCAAAGGUAUUUCCAAUGGACAAUAUGCAAAUCAGAACAAUUAACAAGCUCAUAUGGGUAACUUUUCUUGCUUACACCAACAAUUCUCAACAUAUUUAACUGUGUCCUAAUAGUUAAGAAUUAAGCCACAUUAAAACCCCAAAAUACCCAUAAUAUGGUCAAAUGUUAUGUCCAUCUCAACAAACUACAAGUAACAUGGAGAUUCCAAGAAAACAAAACAAUAAGAGAGAAAGCAUAUAUAUCAAAGUAUAUGAUACAUCUGGCCGACGAUAAUGAGUCCAAGAAGGACUCGAAUUAUUGUAAGAAGCUAAACUAGUAUAGUUUGUCUAAUCAUGACAAUGGGAAAGAUUUCCUUUCCCAAAAGGAAUUGCACACGUAAGACAGAAAAUUGAGAUUUUGUCUUGACGUAAGAUGCAUUUGAAUACAGUAACAAUAUUCAUAAGAAGAAUAACUUUAUUCAACUACCAUACAUCAAUUUAAGGAGAAUAAGCUGACAAGAGAAGGAGUAGAAGCGGACCUUAACUAAGCAAAAAUAAUUUCCUUUUCUAGAACUUGAUUAAAACACCAAUUUCGACCAACUUACACAUCCAUCCGGAGCAAAAAAUUCGACCAACUGAGUUCAGUAAACCUGCCGUCGACAUGGAACAUCACUCAACCUCAAAACUCCAUAGAAUCAAAAAUCAGAGAGGGGGAUGAUAGCUUUCCAUGGGUGGGGUCUGUGUUGAUUACGGUGGAGAAGAUGGGUGGUGUUUGGAUGGUUUCUCCAGAAAUCGAGCGUGGGGUCUUGGAGUAAAACGGCAGAUUUCCAGCCUAGGCUUUUUUUAGAGUCUAAUUCCUAGCUUUAUUUUAUAGGGAUAGAGAUUAGUUUAGG